rnacentral:ncRNA from 2 species
UAAUUAUCAGGAGUAUGGCGAGAGCAACUGGCUCAAUGACCCAUCAGCAACCUACUAAAGCAAGGUGCUAAAUCCAGCCAACAAACCUGCCUACGCAUAAAGCUACGGCAAGGCGCGGUGGAAAGAUAAGAC